GAAAAAAAAAAAAAGCUCGUUUUUGCUUUUGAAUGCAUUUCAAACGCAGCUCCUCGUGCGGCGUAAAAUAAGCCGUUCCUUCCCCUUUGCCUCAGAAAGAGAGGAGCUGGCAACUGACACGAUGCAGAGGCGCAGAAUGAAACCUAUUUAGAACAGAUGUUAGUAUUUUUAAAAAAAAGUCACGUGAAAUGAGCAGAUGUUCAGAGUGCGCAGAGGCUCGCCGUUCAGCGCAUAGCUCUGCAGAGAGCGCUCCGAACUGCUCGGUCUGCACACCGCGAGGCCCCUCGGUCUGUAACCUUUAAAGCCCCUCAUGAUAUCAGCAAAUUGGAGAUCCGAGUGGAUUAUUAAAGGGAAUAUCUCCAUGAGACGAUAAACUGCCUUUGCUCAGACUAUAGACGGAGGAGACUCACGCGCAGGACGGCGUCCCCUCAGUCGGCUGACAGCGACGCUUCCAGGUCAGGUGUCCAAGACAAUGACAAGAACAUCAACAAUUAAAAAAGAAAUGCUGUUUUUGAUAACAAGGACUGCACAUUAUAUUUAUGAAACUACGUGUUGAGAUGAUGGAAUGCCGUCAAGCAUCUUUCUCCUAUAAAGAGUUACAAUAGCUUGAGCGGCCCAAAGACAUUUUGCUUUAACUGGCUAUUUUGUAGCUUUGGCACAAAGCUGUAAGCCCUGUGUCUUGUAAGUGGUGAUCUUAUUUUACACAAUGUGCCUUUAUGCACAAAAAUAUGUGCGGUGUGCAUUCAACUUUUUUAUGAUGCAUUUGGCCAUAUAUAAAUUCAGCAGCAUUAUAAAAAAUAAAAAUAACUACUAGAAGCGCAAAAAAAUGAACCAGAAUAGCAACAAAACAUUAAUUAAUAGGGGUGUCUUGUACCUAUUUUGGACACAAGCCAUUUAGAAGGGUGAUACAGUGGCUCAGUCCAAAAUAAAGUAUGUGACAUGUAUAUGCUUGAACACAUGUUAGCUUUAAAAUGUAAUUAAAUAGCACUUUGCAUAUUAUUGUUAAGAAUGUCCCACUUAAUUUACAAAUGAUGUUCAGAAUAUGGCAGUGUUGGUUUUUCUAGACGGCAAGAUCUAUUUAGUUCCAACUAGUUUUUGCCAGUAAGCUUUGUGUUACCUCCUGUACUUUUCUUUUUUUUUUUUUUUUGUCAAACAAAAUGGUCAGACCAUUAAAAGUGAUCAAAAAAAAGUUAUUGAAGCAAAUAAACCAUUCAGCUUUUGAUUGAUGAUUGUAUGCACACAGGGGAAUGAGCUAAAACAAUUGAAUCUGUCCCAGUGAAAAUAUAAUUGGUUGUGCCGCACUUGGCACAAUCAAAAAUGCCGUAACCCAAGCGCACCCGAGGUAAAGGUCAUGAACUCAUGGCUGGAUAGUCUCCUACAGAGAAAAUUCAUCGUUCCAUCAAUUAUGGCAAGUGUUAAAGGUCUUGAAGACCAAAGACCAUUACACUACCACCACUUUGUUUGGAAGGUGGCGGUAGUGUAUGCAAGACAAGACCUAUCUUGUUUAUGGCAAGCCCUAUAGAACAUAAUAAAAGACCUAUGUUCAUCACUAGUGUUGCCAAACUAGUUAAUUCCUUUAGGUUUAGUUUUUUAGUUUAUUCUUGUUUUCUGUUCUUUGUACAUUGGAAAUAAUUAGUUCUCUGUAAGACUUCCCCUUGGUCUGA